UACGUAGGGGGCAAGCGUUGUCCGGAUUUAUUGGGCGUAAAGAGCGUGUAGGCGGUUUGGUAGGUCCGUUGUGAAAACUCGAGGCUCAACCUCGAGACGCCUAUGGAAACCAUCAGACUAGAGUCCGGAAGAGGAGAGUGGAAUUCCUGGUGUAGCGGUGAAAUGCGCAGAUAUCAGGAAGAACACCCGUGGCUAAGGCGGCUCUCUGGGACGGUACUGACGCUGAGACGCGAAAGCGUGGGGAGCGAACAGG
rnacentral:rRNA from 1 species